rnacentral:rRNA from 1 species
CCUACGGGUGGCUGCAGUGGGGAAUAUUGGACAAUGGGCGAAAGCCUGAUCCAGCCAUGCCGCGUGUGUGAAGAAGGCCUUCGGGUUGUAAAGCACUUUCAGUGGGGAAGAAAGCCUUGGGGCUAAUACCCUCGAGGAAGGACAUCACCCACAGAAGAAGCACCGGCUAACUCCGUGCCAGCAGCCGCGGUAAUACGGAGGGUGCGAGCGUUAAUCGGAAUUACUGGGCGUAAAGCGCGCGUAGGCGGUCUGAUAAGCCGGUUGUGAAAGCCCCGGGCUCAACCUGGGAACGGCAUCCGGAACUGUCAGGCUAGAGUGCAGGAGAGGAAGGUAGAAUUCCCGGUGUGGCGGUGAAAUGCGUAGAGAUCGGGAGGAAUACCAGUGGCGAAGGCGGCCUUCUGGACUGACACUGACGCUGAGGUGCGAAAGCGUGGGUAGCAAACAGAAUUACAUACCCGGUAGUC